rnacentral:rRNA from 1 species
AGUUUGAUCAUGGCUCAGGACGAACGCUGGCGGCGUGCUUAACACAUGCAAGUCGAACGAUGAACCACUUCGGUGGGGAUUAGUGGCGAACGGGUGAGUAACACGUGGGCAAUCUGCCCUUCACUCUGGGACAAGCCCUGGAAACGGGGUCUAAUACCGGAUAGCACUUCCACUCGCAUGGGUGGGGGUUGAAAGCUCCGGCGGUGAAGGAUGAGCCCGCGGCCUAUCAGCUUGUUGGUGAGGUAAUGGCUCACCAAGGCGACGACGGGUAGCCGGCCUGAGAGGGCGACCGGCCACACUGGGACUGAGACACGGCCCAGACUCCUACGGGAGGCAGCAGUGGGGAAUAUUGCACAAUGGGCGAAAGCCUGAUGCAGCGACGCCGCGUGAGGGAUGACGGCCUUCGGGUUGUAAACCUCUUCAGCAGGGAAGAAGGAAAGCGCCGGCUAACUACGUGCCAG